rnacentral:rRNA from 1 species
CCUACGGGAGGCAGCAGUGGGGAAUAUUGCACAAUGGGGGAAACCCUGAUGCAGCGCAGCCGCGUGAGUGAAGAAGUAUUUCGGUAUGUAAAGCUCUAUCAGCAGGGAAGAAAAUGACGUUACCUGAUUACAAAGCCCCGGCUAACUACGUGCCAGCAGCCGCGGUAAUACGUAGGGGGCAAGCGUUAUCCGGAUUUCCUGGGUGUAAAGGGAGCGUAGACGGCAGCACAAGGCUGGAGUGAAAUGCCGGGGCUUAACCCCGGAACUGCGUUGGAAACUGUGCAGCUAGAGUGCAGGAGAGGUAAGUGGAAUUCCUAGUGUAGCGGGGAAAUACGUAGAUAUUAGGAGGAACACCAGUGGCGAAGGCGGCUUACUGGACUGUAACUGACGUUGAGGCUCGAAAGCGUGGGGAGCAAACAGGAUUAGAUACCCGAGUAGUC